rnacentral:rRNA from 1 species
CUAGGAUGAACGCUAGCGACAGGCCUAACACAUGCAAGUCGAGGGGCAGCACAAGGAGCAAUCUGAGGUGGCGACCGGCGCACGGGUGAGUAACACGUAUGCAACCUGCCUGUAAGCGGGGAAUAACCCGUUGAAAGACGGACUAAUACCGCAUAAUACUAAAUUACUGCAUGGUAAUUUAUUUAAACAUUUAUGGCUUACAGAUGGGCAUGCGCAUGAUUAGCUAGUUGGAGAGGUAACGGCUCCCCAAGGCAACGAUCAUUAGGGGUUCUGAGAGGAAGGUCCCCACACUGGUACUGAGACACGGACCAGACUCCUACGGGAGGCAGCAGUGAGGAAUAUUGGUCAAUGGACGAGAGUCUGAACCAGCCAAGUCGCGUGCAGGAAGAAUGUCCUAAUGGAUUGUAAACUGCUUUUGCAGGGGAAUAAAGUGCAUCACGUGUGAUGUUUUGUAUGUACUCUGCGAAUAAGGAUCGGCUAACUCCGUGCCAGCAGCGGC